CCUACGGGAGGCAGCAGUAGGGAAUCUUCGGCAAUGGACGGAAGUCUGACCGAGCAACGCCGCGUGAGUGAAGAAGGUUUUCGGAUCGUAAAGCUCUGUUGUAAGAGAAGAACGAGUGUGAGAGUGGAAAGUUCACACUGUGACGGUAUCUUACCAGAAAGGGACGGCUAACUACGUGCCAGCAGCCGCGGUAAUACGUAGGUCCCGAGCGUUGUCCGGAUUUAUUGGGCGUAAAGCGAGCGCAGGCGGUUAGAUAAGUCUGAAGUUAAAGGCUGUGGCUUAACCAUAGUACGCUUUGGAAACUGUUUAACUUGAGUGCAAGAGGGGAGAGUGGAAUUCCAUGUGUAGCGGUGAAAUGCGUAGAUAUAUGGAGGAACACCGGUGGCGAAAGCGGCUCUCUGGUCUGUAACUGACGCUGAGGCUCGAAAGCGUGGGGAGCGAACAGGAUUAGAUACCCUGGUAGUCCACGCCGUAAACGAUGAGUGCUAGGUGUUAGACCCUUUCCGGGGUUUAGUGCCGUAGCUAACGCAUUAAGCACUCCGCCUGGGGAGUACGACCGCAAGGUUGAAACUCAAAGGAAUUGACGG
rnacentral:rRNA from 1 species